AAGCUUCAGUUCUAUCCUAUGGCCACCAUGAGUCUUCAACAAGUCCACCCACUUCUCUGAGCCGAGCCUCAUUCUCCCAAUCAGAAACUGAGGGCUAAUAAUCCCUCUUUCAGAAGGAUUAAAUGGGAUUGUGGAUAUAAAAUCUAAGGAGCGCAAUUAAUCCUCCCUCCUUGCCCGUUGCCGGGCUCGCGCGUGAGUCAGCAGAUGAGUGACCCGGAGGGAAACACGCUCGGUCCAUCAUCGCGAUGCAAUUAGAACCAGCACUGUUGGUGUGGACAAUGGAUAACCAGUGUGAACACUCCCCUGCGUGUUCUCUUCUACCUCUGCCCAGCAGACAAAGCUGCAGGUGUGAACAUGAAAGAUGCCGUGGGGAGGUGUAGGAGGCGUCUAGACAAGUGAGAGUGAGAUGCUGCACCUGUAAGCUGG